UUCCCUGUGGCUCAGUUGGUAGAGCAUGGUGUGUGCAACGCCAGGGUUGUGGGUUUGAUUCCCAUGGGGGACC
rnacentral:tRNA from 1 species